UACGUAGGGGGCAAGCGUUGUCCGGAAUUAUUGGGCGUAAAGAGCGCGUAGGCGGUCCGAUAAGUCGGCUGUGAAAGUCAGGGGCUCAACCCCCUGAAUGCCGGCCGAUACUGUCGGGCUAGAGUCCGGAAGAGGCGAGUGGAAUUCCCGGUGUAGCGGUGAAAUGCGCAGAUAUCGGGAGGAACACCAAUGGCGAAGGCAGCUCGCUGGGACGGUACUGACGCUGAGGCGCGAAAGCGUGGGGAGCAAACAGGG
rnacentral:rRNA from 1 species